rnacentral:rRNA from 1 species
CUCAAAUGAAUUGACGGGGGCCCGCACAAGCGGUGGAGCAUGUGGUUUAAUUCGAUGCAACGCGAAGAACCUUACCUGGUCUUGACAUCCACAGAACUUUCCAGAGAUGGAUUGGUGCCUUCGGGAACUGUGAGACAGGUGCUGCAUGGCUGUCGUCAGCUCGUGUUGUGAAAUGUUGGGUUAAGUCCCGCAACGAGCGCAACC